rnacentral:snRNA from 2 species
AUUCUUGCUUCGGCAGAACAUAUACUAAAAUUGGAACGAUACAGAGAAGAUUAGCAUGGCUCCUGCGCAAGGAUGACACGCAAAAUCGUGAAGCGUUCCACAUUUUU